GGGUGGUGGGGGUUGGUUGAAGUAUUUUGCAUCUGUUUUGUUUGGAGAUAAGAUGUUAGAUUUGUACAAUUAUAGGCACUUUUUUUGUAUUUCGCUAAUUGAUUGAUCUUGAGGUGAGCUGUUUUUUUAGCUUUUGUUUGAGUUGGUUUGGAACAGUUAAUAGAUGAAAUUUGUCAGUCUACACUAUAUCUCUCCAAAUAAAUUGAUUCCUGAUGUAUAUUGCACCUAUAAUGAAUGAUAGCUUAGAUCUCUCCUAGUUUACUCGUGUUUCUCUUUCUUGUUUUGCUUCUCUGGUAUAAGUUAAAAGGUUCGGAGUUUUUACUGAUUGAUAUGGUUUAUAGUUUAAUUUCUGCACUGGUCCUUUGGGAAUGAGGAUGUUCAAGUUUGCUACAUUGCUGUCUUUUGUUUACGGAACAAACGAGUCAGCUUACCUAGUCCCCUUAGCAGAAAUAAAACGUGGGGUGGCUAUCCUGAUUACAUCAGCCCCUAAAAUUUCUUUAAGGGCCCUUCAUUUAAUAAACCUUGAUUUGGUUUUGUAUUCCUGCCAUAGUCGGCCAGUAAGCACUCCAGUUGUCUUCCCUCUAUUGGAGGUUGCACAACCAUUCUCUCUCAUUCGUUCUUUGAUUUGCUUUGCUAAGUUAUAGUGCGGUGAAGUAAAAUCUACCUUUUCAAUCGAAGCUAACCGCAUCUUGGAAUCAUUCUGUAAGAUGACUUUCCUGAAUCCCUACUCCCAUGCCAACUUCAAUAACUGCUCCCUUGCAAAUAUUCUUUGAGAGCCUCUCUUCCAUCUUCCCCUGUCAUCACUUAUCAGCCUUCCUUAUUAUUGCCAUUCCUGGAUUACUCCCAGAUGCGCCGCCAACAUUGUCUUUAACAGUACCUUCGGGGGGUGGACUUCAUCUGAUGAAAACAUUCCUGCGUUGGAGUUCAACAUGAGCCUUAAAAGAAGUACACUCUGCGCUUGAUCGGCCAUUUCUGAUAGAGUACUUAGGCAAGUAUGUAGCAAAGGUUACCGCCUUCACUGUAUUUCCUGCUCUCCAUGCAAAAUGUAUAAUCUGUUGGAAAAGUAACUUCCAGUUUACCCUCAAAUCCAAUUCCAUCCUGCUUCAGAACAAUUCAAAUGACGAUUUACUGAACAAGUACUCCCAUUUAUUCUGAUUUACCACCAGUAUCCACAAUGCCCUGAUUCAGUCGGAAUCCCUGACUGCACGAGCAUUUGUUACAAAUCUGGCACAAGUCAUCCGUCGCCAAAUGUCUUCGUUUCUGAAUUGUCCAUAGCGUAAAGUGAAGUUUCUGGUUCCGUCCCUAUGCGAAGACUAAGGAGCACAGGUCAAAGAAGGCACUAAGAACUACAAAACACUCCAAAAAACGCGAAAAAGGCGUGAGUUUCACAUCAUUUCGGCACUAUGAGUUUAACCUAUCAAGAAAGACUUGGUUUUGAGCCUGCACCUCCACGGCGCCACUCUAGAUCAUCUUUCCUCCUUCGCUUGAAUGAGUCUUGUAUAGUUACAUGUUAACAUAUAUUUGCAUCUUUCAAUCUGACAACCUGUGUAUUCUUCACAUUUAAGUCUCUUGUGACAAAAUUCUUCUUGGAGUCAUUGGAAGACUUAAGUCUUUGGCAUCUAAUCCCAACAGUGGUAGAAUAGAAGUUAAUGGUUGAUCAAUCGAAAUGACAUUGGUGUCUUGGUCUACAAUCUACACACCACAUUUAUUAGGGACUGAAAGCGUAAAGACUGGAGUUAUUCGUAUUUAAAGUAAAAUAAGUUGAAAUUUUCCAACCAGCAGUCUUGCUUUCUUCAUUUUUUUUUGUCUUCUUUAUAUAUAAGAUGAAUCCUUCGAUAGACAUCUAGAUACUUUAAAAGCCGUUAAAAAUGCUCCAGCUGUUAAUUAAUUAGCGAGUAGCGACCACGGCUCGCAACGAUUACCUUGCAUUGGUCUAUGACAUCAAAAGUGUUGAGACACAGGCAACCAUUUGGCUUCAGUGAUAUUUGAUAAUUUGUUUUCCUUUGCCAUAAACAUUCAACUUUUUUUUUUAUUAAACCUUCAACUUUAUAGCUGGACAUAUGAAUUAUGAUACAGGUAAAACUGAAUUAGCAUCGUUUGUUUGACAGAUUGAGACCAAGUGACAGUAAACUAAGAAAAUUUUUGGAAAAAGAAAGGAAGAGAAGCAUUUUCAGCAGCUCCAUCAAUUUCUCUUUACUUUCUGUUUUCAUGUUACUUUUUUUUUUUUUUUUUUGGGGUAUGUUUGAUUUACAAAUACAGUUUGAAGCUUGGACUUGAUAGCAAGGAUUCCUUUGAGAGAGCUACUUCUCUUGUCAGAAACCUGUUAGCAAUAGCAAUCAAGUCUCUGGCACUCAUGUACAAGCAGUUAAGCUCCACCUAAAAAGUGGAUUCAGCAAUAGUUGAAGGGCGACGAUCAUGUGGUUAUAUCUAUAUGUUCUUUGGAAAAGAUCAGUUAUUGAAACUGCUAAACAUACUAUGGGGAAAGACAAUUUAAAAGCUUUCACCCCUCUGUCAAAAUCCUUCUUAGCUUUUACUGCUUGUUCAAGACAUUUCAUUCCACUUCUUGGAGCUAUUAGCCCUACAUCAGAACUAUCUCAAAACUUGCUCCUAACAGAUAAAAAGUGGUCCACAAUUUAUGGAAAUGGAAUUUCUGACACCAUAUGAAUUGCCAACCUUAUUUUUUGACUUGACUUCAAGAAAUUUUGCCAGAACUGGCUGUUUGCUGCCCGGUGCGUCACGGCCAAUCCGAUCUCUAAGUCCAGUCAACUUAAAUAGCUUCCAUAAUGGCAAGAACAUUUUUCCACACGUUGGUUUACCUCACACAUGGAAUGACAAGUACAUGCACAUACCUGGAUAUAUGCAUAUUCACAAUUAAAACUUGAGAUUCAGGUGUGAAAUACUCCAAAACCAAAGCCCAAGUCAGCCAAAGAUUUCUGCCCAAAAUGAGUAAGUAUGUUGACAUCUCCUCAACAAUUUUUUUCUUCUUUUUAUUCAUUUACUCAGUGUUCUCUCAGCUACCUUCAAAGCAAAUUGCCUCCAUGACUAAUCUUUAUGAGAUGCUUCAGAAUAAUAUUGGGAAUUCAUCAUUUCCGUGGAGUAAUGUGAAAAAAGACUCUAAUCCAUGUUCAUGGGUGGGAGUUUCAUGCAGUUCAAGCAACUCCUCUGUAACUGAACUUUCUUUACCAUUGUUUUCAAUAUCUAGCCCAGAAAUUCUGCCUGUUGUGUUGCCAGAUUGAUAGCUUAGAAUCUCUUGACAUCUCUAAUAAUCAUUUGAGCUCAAUCUCGGAUGUGUUUAUCUCUUCCUGUGGUGGGAUCAGUGGUUUGAAACUGCUGAAUAUUUGUAGGAACGAAUUGGGUGGUUCUUUGCCUACUUUUAAUGGUUUUCAAAAGUUAAGAGGUCUUGGACUUGUCUCGUAAUUCUCUGAUGGUGAACAUCACUUUGCAACCAUGGUUCAAAGUCGAGGUCGCGGCCGGAACGUUCCACAUCGGUCUCGGCAUAUCGGUUUCGGCAUAUCGGUCACGGUCUCGGUGAGACGCAAAUUUUAAAGCAUUUAAUAUUCUAAAAACUGUCAAUAAUAUAAAAAAAAGUAUGCUAAACAAAAAUAAUAAAAAAUAACAAACGAAAAUUUGUAAAAUGUACUAUUUUUAUACAUAUUACACACAAUAAGUACUUUUAAUUAUUUAAAACAAUGGCAUCACAAAUAAAAUCAAAAUAACAUAGACCACAAUUUUAAAACUAAUAAUUGCAAAAGUAAUAUCAACCAUUAACAAUACAAACUAAAGAUUUAUUUAUAGCAUAAAGUUGGAAUAUUUUGAUCAAUCUCCUGCCAAAAAUAAAAAGAAAUCAUAUUAGAUAAAAGGUAAAUAUGUAAAAAGAUAUACUAGUACUUUAUAUUUUUGUACCUGUUAAUACCAAGUAGAAUGACGAUGUGGUUCAAAAUCAUCCUGAUUGGUCGAUGAAUGGUAAAACAGAUGUGGAAGUGGCAUAGGACCUUGAGUAGGUAGUGUAAAUGAGUUAUCUGGUGUAUUUACUGGAUGUGAGGAUUGACUAGAUGUUCCAUAAUCAUUGGACGGAAGAACUUCUGGAUUGGAGAUGAUUUGUUGAUGGUAGUAUCCAAACCCUCGAUAGUUAACACUAUCGCUGGUACCAUAUGAUGCAGUAGAAUCAUGACCAUAAAAUCCAAUAUUAUUGGAAUCAAAAGAAGAACCAUCAUGAGACUUAUCUAUUUCUUUUUCAUAAUAUCCACUACCAUGAAUGCUAGUAGACCUUUCAACCUGUCCAGGUCUGUCAAAUGGCCAAUAUCCACUGUAAUAGUCAGGAGUGAUUCCAUAUGAUUGGUCAUAGCCAUAUCCCAAUUGACUAGUACUACGGUUUUGAUUAGAUUCAUGCUCAUAAGUUGAGUAUAUACCCAAAUUUUGCAUCUGAUCAUUGAUUCCUCUAUAUCUUUGUGACCCUGAAUGGUGAGAGAAAGUAUCCUCACUUGAAAAUUGAGUUAAAUCAUUGAGGAAUUGACGUUGUGCUUCUAUACCAGGAUGAUAGCCAUGAUCAGUAUCUUGAGUGGCAUAAUAAUUAUCUUAUCCUUGAGCCCAUGACAUACCUCCUGCUUGUUGGCUAUCUCGAUUGUAACCACUAUGUCUGGAAGAAUUGUUUCCUCCAUCUCCAUUGUCACCAUUGUCAUCAUCAUCAUUACUGCUGUCACUUUUAUUUGAAGAUGACGGAACAGUCUGCUUACUGGUUUGUUUAGUCUUACCUUUUUGUUUCCUACUUGAGGAUGCAGCAAGACCUUUCUUAUUUCUUUUGGUAAUAUAUUGGGACAAUGUAUCACCAAAACCAUCGUUGUCAUGUUCUUGAUAUUCACUACUUUCUGAUUCAGUUUGAUGAAUGCCCUUAUCCAACCAAUCCAGAUUAUCUUCAGGCAAUGUGGGUUGUUCAUUUUCUCUUAUCCAAUCAUCCAAUAUAUCAUCUUGGUGAAAAAUGUGAUUCAAGUCAAUUGGGUUGUAGAAAUCAUCAGUAUCUCUUUGAUGCAUCAAAUUUUUCACCUUCAAUCGCAUAUUGUAAUGCACAAAAACUAAUUUAUGCAAUUUUUUAACUGCCAAACGGUUGCGUAGUUUUGUAUGAAUUAAUGACCAUGUACUCCAAUUUCGCUCACAACCAGAGGAUGUGCAGGUUUAACUCAAUAUUUUCACUGCAAUAUUCCUUAAAUUUGGCGCAUCUUCACCGUAGUUAAGCCACCAUUCAGCUAAACAAACAAAGUAAUAAUAACAUUCAUUUAUUAUUAUUAUUUUAAUAUUAUAAAAAUAUUAACUUCAUUUAUAUGAUUUGGAUGUUUAUGUAAGUAUGAAUUAAGUUGAAACCUGGUAAAGAUUUUGGUAAUGCUCUUGCUGCAAUAGCACUUCCAAAGCCUCCCUUUUUGUCUGCAAAAAAUUUUGAUCUACAAAAAUAAUGUAUACACAAGUGUUAAAAUUUUAAAAUUUGUUGAUUAAUAUAAAUAAAUAAAAUAAUCAAAAGAAUACCUCAUUUAUUGAAUCAACUUAUGCAUCUAAAUUUGGCUCCAACUUUGCAAUGACGUUCUUUAACCCUCUUCGAACUUCAUCCAGAAUAAACUCACAAGUUCCAGAAUAUUGAAGGAUCGGGUUCAAAAAAUAUGCUAAAUACAAUAAAAUAACAAAAUUAGAAAAUAAAUAAAUAAAUAAAUAAAUAAAUAUUACAUAUUUAAAUUGGAUGUAAUAUUUUAAAUUACCUGCCGCAUGUAAAUCCCGAUGAAGUUGAUUGUACCAUCUAUUAUCAAUCACUUCCCAAAUUGUUUUCCAAGAUUUCACCGACUUUUGAAUAGCCAUUUUUGCUCUAUCCAUUGCCUCAUAAAUAAUUGGCAAUGUUGGCUUAUUAUCUUGAUCAAUAGUUUUUAAAACUUUGACCAGAGGCUCCAUUAUUGCACACACAUUUCUAACUUUUUUCCAAAACUUCUCUGACAAUAUCAACUCAGCUACUUUAAUAGCUUCUGCUUUUCUCUUGGUAGUGUUAUUAAACUCUGCCCAUUCAUCUGAGGUGCACAUUCUUUUCAGUUCUGUACAAUGCCGAAGAAGACUUUCCAUAGAAAUGAAUUCAGUUGCAAAUCUAGUGAUACCUGGACGUAGCAGUUCCCUUUUUUUUUUGUAUAUGUCUUCAUCAGAUUCACUACUUUGUCACUGUUAUAUAUGAAACUUGUUAUCUUCUUCCCCUGAGCAAUAGUUUCUUUUACAUUAUCCAUUUUGCCAAUAUCCUCCAACAUCAAAUCUAUACAAUGCGCAGCGCAAGGUGACCAGAAUAGAUUUUUUCUUUUUUUCAUCAACAGUUGUCUAGCAGCUUUCAUACUAGAUUCACUAUCUGUCACAACUUGUACAACAUUUUUUUCCCCCACAACCUCUAUUACCUUAUCCAUUAACUUGAAAAUAUAUUCAGCAGUUUUCUUAAUAUUGGUACAAUCAACUGAACUAUGGUAUAUCAUGUGCCUAUCACAGUAUACCAUAAAAUUUAUUAUUGGCUGUUUUGUACGAGUGCUCCACCCAUCACACAUAAGUUGUUGAUCUUGAUCCCUAUCUUUUGAUGUUUACAAAACAAAUAGAUAUUACUAAUAUCUCUUAAAAGAUCUAUUCAGUUAUGAAGCAAAUUAGUCCCAAAGAUCAAGUACAAUUGAAAGAUGACAAGGUAUGCUGAAGCUGUCGGACACUCAAGAAGUCAGGAUCGGACGUCCGAUAAUUAUUGCACAACUUCGGACGCAUGCUUCGGAUGUCCGAUAGGAUCAUUCGAAGUCGACGAAACUAUCGGAUGCUGAAUAUGUCUCUACCGGACGUUCGAUAGAAACAAGAUAAUUUCUCAAAUCUGUUUGUUUUCUGUCGGACGCACAAAGAGCUUGCACCGGACGUCCGAAAGAAUUGAAAAAAAUCUCUGAAACUCACUGCCUGCUGUCGGACGCAUAAAACAGGGCUAUCGGACGUCCGACACUCCAACGGCUAGUUGACUCUUCAGCUAUUUUCUAUCUGUUGGAAGCUUUAAUGAGGCUCUUUUUUGGUCCUAUAUAAAUAGUGAUUAGUCAGAUACUUCAAACAACUUUGGCACACUGAAGAUACAAAAGAUCUAGAGAGAUUUUAUUGAGAAAAUACUCCAAAAAGAAGAUUUGUAGUUUUAGUGGUGUGAGAUUCUUUGUAAGCUUUUCAUUUGUGAGUGAAUACUUCAUGAAUGUAACUCUGUGAGGAUUGUCCUGAGGGAUAGUAAAACGUCCUGACUUGACCGAGUGGAGUUCGGGGCAAGGAGGAGGUGAACCUUCCUUUGUACACAAGAGUGAUUAUAAUUCAUCAACUUGAAAUAGUUUGUUACAAUUAAUCUACAAGCUCAAGAGGAGUUGGGUAGUUAAUUGGUUUGCAAUCCUUUCCUUUUUAUUUACUUACUGUUACAUUUGUGAUCUUUGCAUUGUUUAUGUUUGUCUCAUUGGUUGUUUUCGGGCCUUACAAUUGGUAUCAGAGAAAAAUAGAAAAAUCCUGAAUGCCUUGUCCAAUUAUUGGGAAAAUAAAGUGACUGCUAUUGAGGAGGCUAAAGAUUUGAAUACCAUGCCUAUUGAAUCUCUUAUUAAUUCUCUAACAUCUUAUGAGCUGAAGCUUAAGUCUAAAAUGCAAGAGGAUGAGGAUGUGAAAGUAAGAAGGAGCAUUGCUCUAAAGGCAUUUCAAGAUGAAAAUGAUUCUACCUCCCUAGAUGAAGAUGAUGCAGAAGGUGAUGACAAUGAUACCGCACUCAUCACAAGAAGUUUCAAACGAAUACUCAAAAAGAGGAGAUUCAGAAAAGAUGGACCUAGCAAUUCACUCCCAAAUCAGUUCAACAUCCUGAGAAACAAAGGGAAGCUAGAGUUUAACAAAAAAUAAA
rnacentral:lncRNA from 1 species